rnacentral:rRNA from 1 species
CCUAUGGGGCGCUGCAGGCGAGAAAACUUUGCAAUGUGCGUAAGCACGACAAGGUUAAUCCGAGUGUUUCCUGCAAAGGAAUCUUUUGUCAGUCGUAAAACCACUAAGA